AGCAGGAAAAAAUAAGAGCAGAAGAGCAUCUAGUUGGCAGCUGCAGCUGUGGUUUGCCUUUUCUGGAGGCAAACAAAAUCUGCAGAAUCUUCUGGGGGCAGGAGGAAAAGGAGGGAAGAGGCCAUGGAACCUUGUUUUUCCUUCUUGCUAUGACCCGUUUCUUAAUUCUUAUGAGACAGAACUUGAAAGAAGCCCCAUAUGACAGGUUGACUUUUGACUGGGUAGAAGGAGCAGCAGCUGGUCCUCUGGCUCAUACCAAAUGCCCUGAUGCCAGGACCCUUCACAGCCAAGGAGAUGUGCCACUUUCCCUUUACUUAUCAGUGUGUCUACCCUCCUGGAUCCAGUGCCACAUCAGCCUAUUCCUGCAGCAACUCAGCAAAUAAAGGAGAAGCGUGUUUGCGGUUCGCUUCCAACUACCAGCUUCCCAUUUUGCUGCUAUUCCAGAUAAGAGGUUCUGCUAUCAGUUAUGUGCUGGGCUUCCAGCCACUGAACUGAGAUCAAAUGGUGUUUUCUCUCAUGUGUCAAGAGCUGAGGUCCUGACCUCAAGUUUAUGAAGGGGUCCUCAGGAGGUAGCCUGACCACUGUUUGCAUCAGAUCUGCUGGUUGAGAAACCUCUUCUUGGACUACAAUCUACGACACAGCUCUCAGAGACACCCACCAACAGAGGGAUUUGAAUUCAUCACUGUUCCAUCAAGAAUCUGUGAAAUGGAAGCACCUGAUGGAAAUAUAUUGUAUCAUUGUCCUACCUUCAAGAUCAAGACGCCCACCUUCUGCUCCAUGACUCAGUGGGAACUAGGAAGAAAUUUCAGCUCUGUGGAAACCAUUCCACUGUGUCAGGAUAAGUUCUUUGGGAGAGUGAAGCUACGGACCUCCUGAUGCAGAGGCACUGGGUUGAUCAGAACACUCCCAAAAGAGCCCCUCCUCAAGCUUGUCUGCAAAUCAGUCUGGCUUUGUGCUUAAUGCAAGUUAUCAAUCAUCUUUUCAUGAGCAAAUGGUUUCGUAUUAAGGCAGCAUUUGCAAGACUUUCUCAGCCAGUUCUUCCUGGAUCAGCAUCUUUCCCCAGGACUUGGGCAGCCUUUAGGCAGCACUAAGCCACUCUGCUACAGUCCAGGCCAUGCUGGUUGUCCAGGGGAGCAGCCCUGAGGUGCUUGGGCAAUACUUAGCGACCACCCAUCUGGACUGUGGACUGGGCUUAAAUGUGGACUGGGUUUAAACCACACCCAAAAACCACUUUAGAUGGAAUAUCUGCAUUCUGGAUUUUGUUGCGACUAUUCCUUCAUCUCUGAAGCAGUGAAGGGAUAAAAGUAUAAUUUGUUGAUUCUGUGAAAGACAGUGAUGGUAGACUAGGCUGAUCACAACGCAAAGGGAUUUAGUCUAGCAGUGAUAAUUUAGGCUUUUUUGUAUAUUUAUCUAGCUAUCUACCUGUCAGAUAAGCAAGUCUAUGAUUAUCUGUAUUUGUUUGAACUACUGAGCUAUGAUCUAAGUUUUCUACUGAUGCAAUCACCUUUUCCCAAGUCACUGAACAUUUUUUGAAUCCCUCAAGAUGUUUUAAUUGACUUAAUGCAAAAUUUUCCUCCUUGAAAUAAUCAGGGAGUUGGAGUGUGUCUUUGUCCCUCUGUUAAGUCCUUUAUAAGAUAUGACUAAUAACUGCAGUAUUUUCCUUUGACUAUUGUAGCAAUGCUUCAUUCACUCCACAUUCUUUUUAAAGUAAUCCACCCUCACAAAUGAAGUAGUUUCAGCCUUUCUUUUUUAAUUUUAUUGUCUAUCCAAAAAAGUUGCUAGAUUUCACAGGUGUCAUAUUUUCAUCAAUAAAAAAGAUGGAAGCCACUGGAAAGCACCUAGUCCCUGCAAGAUAGGCUCCUGAAGAAAGAGGUGUUUUGAACAUGCACAAGUGAGUGAAAAUCAGUGAUUCAGUGUACAGGAGGAUUUCUUUUUAGAUGCACAUUUGUAACUAAACAUGAGCCCUGUAGUUCCCUUUACCACAGCACUUCUGUACUUCAAGCAGUUUCCCUCCUUGGAGAAGCAACGUUGAAGCUGCUCAGUGGAGCAUCAUUUAGAGCAUCCCACCUUCAAAGCAAAUGUAAGGUUCUCCAGAUGGCAGCAGUUAUCUCUGCCUGGGAAAAUGGGAUGUGGAUUUAUGGUCCUAGAACCACAGAAGAUCACAGGAAAUUUGUUUUACCAGUUACCAGUGUAGCUGUACACCUAUAAGAGAUUUCCAGCUGGUUUUUAGCUCUUUCAUGCAGCAAACAGUUAUCAUUACUUUCCAAAAAAAGUCCUUGGAUGCAUGCCUAAGACAGAUUUCCAGAUCCUUUCAUGACACUAUUCGUUACUCUCUCCUUUGUCUCUUCCCCUCCUUUCCCUUUAUAAUGGAGACAAUUUACAUCAUAAGCUAAAUAAUAAUUUCCUUGUACAAUAUAGGAAGAAAAUAAUGUUGCAGAACAAAUAAAGUAAAUGAAUAGUGUAUGAACUGCUGCCAUCUCUUGGUUAUAUUCAUUAUUCCAAGUAUUCUGGGUGUAUUCAUCCAAAUCAAGAAUAUUAGGGCACUUCAUAGUUUUAUUUUCCCUUUCACCUCACACCCAGUCAUGCAAACACAAAGGAAGACACAAUUUUUUUUUCUGAUGCUGCUGCUGAAAUUGUCAGUUGCAACUAUUAAGGUAAUGUUUAAAGAUCUUUGAUCAAUAUUUUUGGUGUGCUUAAGCUAAGUCCUUUAUUUUAUUUUCUGGAUUUUAGUUUGUGUUUUACCUUUGCUAGGCUUCCAAGCAUUCAGUUGCAAUUUUUGUACUACAACAAAGAGAGUUAAUUUUAUUAUUUUGUUAUUCCGAUAAUGAAAGACGUGAGGGAAGGGCAGUGGUAGUGAGGAAUCACAUCUGCCUAAGUGAAACAAAAUGAGUUUCCAAUUUAAUAUUUUUUCCAUGUUUAAAGAAUAACAUGCUGAUUUUAUGCCUUAUCCAGGUGUGUGCCCUGAUUAGAAGCUCAUUGAAGUUAAUGACAUAACUCCAGUGCACUUCAAGAGCCUUUGGAUGAUUUCUGUUGAAAAUCGUCAGAUUUCUAUUGAAGGUGUCAGUGAAAUGACAUUGUUUUUUUCCCACCCAGUCAGUACCUUUCACCACCAUUGCUGCAUGUUUAAUCAGUUCCUGCUGAUUUCAGUAGGACAUCAAUUGACCUUUUGUAGGUCAAUUGCAAUGUGUGGACAGCUAAAAUAUCCCAUCUGAGCAGUCAUUAUUGCCCUCUGAAUGACAGUAUGGAUGAUAAAUGGGAACAAAAUCCUGGCAAUCUCCCACUGAAAGCCACAGAGGCAGGAUUUUUGCCUAUUCCUCACUUUUUCUAAGCCCUUGGUCCCAUUCCUGUUGAUGUCACACUUGCUUAUUAACACGUUGCUGUAGCUGUAUCUCACCCAUACCUCACCAGUCCCUAUGGCUGCACCACAACCGGUCGUCUCAGACAACAACAGAGAAGGAUCAGCAAUUUAUACUGAAAAUACAAAUGCAGAAGAUCUGAGAGCAACCUAAUUAAAGCCCUCUUGAGUUAGGCCGUCACAUUAACUUAACACCCGGGCUGUAAUCAGCAAAUCUUCUCACUUGACUGAGUGAGGAGGCUUAUCCACAGUCUGUUGGAGCAGAAGCAAUUCGUAACCACCAUGAAUGUUCCAAGCAGUUGCUCGUCAUGUCUUACUGAAAAGAUCAUGUUGACCUGAGGCCUUAUUAAAACGUAUUUGUCUGGAAAACCAGAAAUUGCUUGGUUCUUCCCUCAGCUGAAAGAUACAUCCAGUCAUGGCUGAAGAGCUCUUUCCUAUGGGAUGUACAUGACUCUGCAGUUCUGGACCCAAAGAUUAUUUUAUCUUUCUUUUUGUUGUCAUGACUAAAUAGUACAAUCACAUACAAACUCAGCUAAAACCCCCAGCAUUAAGUCUGAAAGGACUUCUAGAAAAGAACAGCAUCUGCCCCUGUAGCAGGUUUUGCUUAACUAUUUUUUAUUCAUGAGUGUCUUAUGUGACAAGUUACCACAGCCUAGUUUUCUUACUCACUGAAGUGAUUAAAGCAAUAUCACCCAGAGACUUCUUGUUUGCCUGCACAUAUCACUGCAACCCUCUCAGCUUCCUCCAAAGCAGGGGCAGAGACCCGGCGUGCUGGAAAUUUGGCAGGGUGAGGUCUGUUCUCAUUUCAUAAUGGAGCCAUUCUGUUUCUUCAGCUUGCUGAAAUUCCUUCCUGAUGACUUGAUUAAAAGAUUUAAAAAAAAAAAAAAAGAAAUAGAAAAAGAGAAAAAAAAAAGCAGCAUGGUAAGUCUGAUCUAGAAGAGCACAAUAUAUACCCUGAAAAGUGCUAUAAAGCAGCAUUUCAUCCUUAGAGCAGUUCAGACAUAGGUAAAUAAAGGGAUUUGGGCUGGGAGCCGAACUACACUGUUCUGAUGAGUGGAUACUUACUGCAGUGAGUAUGAAGUAUAGACAUGAAAAAGGGUUGAAAAGCCACUGUAGAAGGUGUAGAAGCACCGUAGAAGUACGAGUAGGACCACCAGUGUUCAGGUCCUGUUACUUAAGCAGUGGUUUUCUCAUAGUGUCCAGUGCACCAUCACCUGCCAGAAGGAAGGAUUUAUAUGGCUAAUUUGUGGAACAACUUAUCAGUAGCCAGGCUGCUUGAGGAUGCAGAAUUUGUAGUGAUUAUUGUAGCUUUUUCUUUCCCAAUGCCCUGCUCACUGGGGAUUACAUAACAUUGCUCAAAAAGCAGGCAAAUAAUGGCCUUCAUAAGGAGAAAAAAAAAAAAAAAAAGAUAAAUAACCCCACACACUUUUAUAUAAUAUAUAAAUACAUAUAUAUAUAUAUAUAUAUAAUUUUUUUUUUAAACAAAUCCAGGACAUUUAAAAGAAGCCCUAGCCUAGAAGCAGGUUAAUCUACACUGACAGGUUCCUUCUGGAUGUGAACACCUGAAGUUUAGCUUCCAAAUUGCACUUCCACUGAUUUUUUUCUCUUACCCCAUCAUUCGACUAAAUUGAAAAAAAUGUUAUGCCAUUACCAUUUAUAUUCAAACUCAAGUCUUGGUGGCUUCAAGACCUCUCCAGGGACUCAUCUUUCCUGCAUAGCUAUGGUGGUGGAGAAAAUGGGGGCACUGAGCUCUUGUUCACUAUCAGGAUAUUGAGUGGGGCUUCUGUCAUGAGAAAGGUCUGCAGAACCUUGUAGAAUACUUUUUAUUUUCUUGCCUAAUCCUUUUUCUUCUGCAAGUGAAUCUUUGUACCAUAAAGACAUGAAUGCUUUAGUUAAGAAUAGAUGUCUUUCUAAAAUUUCCCAUCUCACCUAGACAUCACCAAGCUCAGAGCAGGAGUUGGACUAGAAUUUUCUUUGCUUUGGUUUUUUAGUACUCAAGACAUGAUCACUCUGCUGCCUGGAAGCAGGAGCAUGUUGAGAACAGGUAUAUCAGCAAGAGCUGGUAGGUACCUUAAACCCUUACUCCCCUGGUGGGUAAAUCUGAAAUCAGGAUGAGCCUGGGUUACCUACAAAGUCCACAUGCCAUAGGAGCAUCUUUAUAAAAACAAUUUUUUUUAAAUCCUGGACUGUCCUUGCUGGCUGAUGUCUCGUGAUACAACUCCAAGAGGAGAUGUAGGAGUUGGGGAAAACAGACCAUCCGUAGACAAGAAAAACAAGUUGUGGGAACUUGUCUGUGUUUUCCUCCAGCUCCCAGCACCGCUGGUGUCAGCACAACGAUGCAGACCUGACCCCAGUGUGUCCCACAGCAGAGAACGGCAUCUGCAGAGUUACACAGGCUAAUCCAGAGGGGCUUCCAAACCCUACUGCCUGCAGCACUGAGAUCCAGAAGAUUCCUCCUAUGGUUCAUUAUUUUGGAAAAGAUCUCAGGCUGGGAGAUGAAGUGUCUUUGCUGCACUUCAAAAUAGCAGGGAGAGGUCAGAGAGGCACAAAUGCUGCGGCUGUUGUGAACAUCUUGGCAACAGCUUCAUUUUUUGCUUUUGUUCUGCUCUGGUGAACAAAAAAGCUUGCUGAGGAGAAACAGAGAUGUUCCAUUCUGGUGAAGCUAACAUAUUCAAAACUAAACUAAAACUGGGUGAAAAUAUUGGAGAAACUGACUGGCAGAUUUGCCCUCAAAUGAGUGUACAGUUAUGGUUUCUUCUCUCUGAAAAAAUCUAUUUCUUUGAAAAAUUUAUUAUUAAUUGAAAGAGAUGACACAGUUUGAUUCCCAGUGGUAACAAAGGAUUUGUGAAAAGCAAAGAUACAGAUGUUGCUAAUUAUGACUUAGGUGCACUGAAGUACUGAUAUGAAGAGGGCUUCUUGCUUACAGUAAUUGAAAAAUGCUGGUUUCCAAUGUGACCAACUGCUGAAUUCACUUUUAGAAAAAUAAAUUAAGAUCCCAUUUAAAAUAAUGUUUUAUUUAUUUUUUUUUUCUUUUCAUAGUUGGGAAGAAAACAUUUCCCUAGGUGAUUUAUAACAGUAUUCAAAUGCAAUUCCCUGAGAAGAGUGAGUAAUUUCAAAUCCUGACUAAGAUAUUUAAUUUGAAAUUAGUUAAGUGGUUAUUUGACUGAAAGGGAUUUUAAAAAACAGGAUCCAUUUAUGUGUCUUCAGGCUAAGGAAGUAUUCUAGUGAAUUUAAUUAAGAAUAAGAUUCUUUACUAACUUCAAUCCAGUAGAAACAUGCAGGGUUGUCUUUUGGUAAUUAAUGUGUCUGCUGGUUAAUAUGAUAAUCACGACCACGUUUUCAACAACUGAGAACUCUAAUUAAACAAAUAAAAAAUUGCUAAUAAUCAUCAUCAGUAUUCACUGAGCCUUUUCUUGGAGGAAACUUCUGGCUGCAUUUAUACAUCUUAUUCAUAGUAAUAGUAUUACUUAACUCAAAAUCUACAAACUCUUAAUAUGCUGGUAUUUAAGUACUGAACAAAAUUUAGAAGUGGAGGCAUUCUGGUAUCUUUACCAGUAAAAAUUUCUGAUAAAGUGAACUAGGCUUUUAUUUUUCCUCUUUGUUGCAUCUUCUAAAAGGCUUUAAGAUGCUGUCUUAGGAAAAACAAAACAAAUCCACCUGUUUCUGAUUUCUUAAUAAAAUAGUAAUACUUUUGAAGAAAAGAAUGUGACAUUGUUUUGGGGUUUGUUUAGAUAUCUCCCAUGUCACUUUAUUUUGGAAAAAUAAGAUCUAGUUUUAAAAAUACAGCAAUGAGGUAUUUCCAAUGUAUGCCAAGGGGGUUUUACAUUACACUUCUCAGUGUUUCUCUCUUAAGAAUUCAUGACCAAUAAACGAAGGUCAGCUUGGAAAGACAGGGAAGGAGUGUUCUCAACAGGAGCCUCUGGGAACAGAUUUGUGGAAGAGACUGUAUCAGUGUGAGAAAUUUGUGGCACAAAUUAUUAGCUAAUAGGGUUGCUGCUAGGUGAGUAAGGGGUGUUGAACCCCAGGCAGCCCUUCCAACAGGGAGUGAAUCUCCAAGUCUUCCUGGCUAAAGGAGCUUUCCUGAGAACCAUUUCAGCCGAACUUCCUCAGCCGGACCUGCUGCUGUUACCCAUACAAUUCACUGCCUUCACCCCCUUACCUUAGCUGAGGGUUUGCUUCACUGCAGUGGUUAUCUAAAAUGACAUUGGUCCUUGCAUAGUCAUACAAGUCUGCUACAAAACUCUGUACCCUUGCCACAUCUCUCCAUUCCCUCUCUUUAGCCCCUCUUCCAGCUCAGAAUUACUCAGCUACGAUGUCUGUGACAAAGGAGGAUGAGGAAGAUUGCAUCAGUGUACAGGAUGGGAAUGGACCAGAUGAACCACCACACCAGGUUCUCUGCCAUCUCAGGCCAUCGCAUCAGAGCAACAUCUGGCAAGAUGCUGAGGAAAGGGAUUCCUCUGAAUUACAGAAGGGAACGGUAGCUCCCAGGACAGCAUCCUUCCCUUCUUUCCAUAGAUGCCGACAUCAUGGAGCGCCUGAGCAGUGGAGUUUACUCCUACAGUUUUUCCAUCCUGGGUUCCAGCACUCAGGAUCAGGUUGUAAAUAAGGCAACAAGUCCAUGUGAGUGGAAAUGAUCACAAAGUAAAUACAUUCAUCUUUCAGAUCUGUUGCCAAAUUCUGGAAGACAAUGGGCCUUGACAACUCAGAGGGUCUCUCAAGGCUGGGCGUAUAACAAACCUUUCCAAUUCAUCUGUUCUUCAAGAAAAAGAAAGGCUUUUUAGUUCUUUGAAAAGCAAUACUAGAAUUCACAAAAGGGGUCCUCUGUAUGCUUCUGAAAGUCUCCUUUUAACUGUACACUUUACAGUCCAUUGGAAAAGCACUGAAAUAUUCAAAGAUGCCAAAAUCAAAGGCUAGUGAGUGUCCAGCUAAUUCAACCAGCACACAUCUGCAGAUAGCUGGUAGAGAUCUCUGUGGACAUGAUUUUAAUGCUCUUUCAUGCAUCAUCUAGUAAAAAAAAAAGGAGAGAAAAAAAGAGCUUUUCAUUGUUAUUAUUUCCCCAGGUGCUCAAGUCUUAGCUUCUCUGUCAUUUAAUUUGUGCAUAAUUUUUCAUGAAUACUGGGGAAAAGAUCAUGAGAUAUGAAAAUGGGAUCCAACUUCAGAGCUGGAAAUACUCAUGAUUUCUCCUUUUUAUUUAUGUGUUUCCCAAGAGCUGGGGCCUUCUUUUUAUGUAAGUUCUGGAAAAAUGCACAUUAGUAUCUUGCUACGCACAAUGUGGAAACCAGAAUUUUGAAAGGGAGAAAAUACAAUAAUCUAUUUUUGGAAUCUAGUUCAAACAUGUCAACAAAAUAAUGUUGGCUGCCCUCUGCGUUACCAUAAUUACCAAUAAUUACCGAUAAUUAUAAGAACUAUUGUAUAGAUGAAGGAAAAGUUCAAGUAAAACUAAGGAUUGAAAGUAAAUUUCCUCUCCCUGAAACCAGAACAUUCUUUGAAAUUAGUAAAAAGGGUGCAAUAAUUACCUGCAGAAGAAUCAUUGCUUUUAAUUAAUAAAAACGUUUAGAUUAACAGUAAAGCUAAAUAGAUUGAUAGGGAAGGAUCAGAAUUCCAUUUUUACUAAGAGCUGCUAAAUGUAAUCCUCCUACAUCAUAACAUACACUGGAUGCUCAAGAAGUUUCAGCAACGAGGUGUUGCUGAACAUAUACUAAUGUUUAUUUUCCCCUGAAGUUAACUCCAGUGACCCCGAUUGUGCCUUAGCAGAAACAAGCUCCUCUUGUAACUGCAUCAAAGGCCUGAGGAAUCUUAAAAACACUGUAAAGGAAAAAAGAGCUACAGUUUUAUAGAUAAACACUGAGGCCAAAUGAAGGCUAUGGGCUCUCUUUGGGUACCCUCAUGAAAUGCGAGGAAGGCCCGCAGCAGCAGGCGAUGUGGUAAGUUUUCAGGUCAAUGUGGCAUGAAGACAUGAGGGAAAAAGUAUCCCAGUAAUGAGAAAUGAGUCAAUGCAGAUCAGCAGGUCAGCCAUUCUGAUGGGGCACUGUCAGCAGUCAAACUCUGGAGCUUUCCUCUGCAGUCACAUCCAGGCUCAGAUGGGCAUGCCGGCUCUGACCCUGGUUUAGGCUUAGCUACGUGUGGCAGGCAAGUGGGAUUAAUAACGCGACUUCUGUAUUUUAGGAUUUCAAGUGAGGAGGAAAAGUUUCUAGACUCACAAAGGGCCUCUCUCAUGUCCAUUAAGGAAAUGUUUUUCAAAGUGUAAACAUCAGCUGGGAAAUUUCACUGCUUUCUGUGGCUUUGAUAAUUUCCCCCCUGAACUGCACAUUAUUUUGGAUACAAGUUGUCUUUCAUCCUGUGACAGUUAAGAGUGCCAGGGCCUCUAGUCACUAAUGAAACAUAAAUAAUUAACCAAACGGUCUUCCUGCAAGUUCAUCUGUAGUGGAAAACACUUCUAUCUACAUAAACCAAUGCAGCAGCAGGGGAAAACCUGCUCCAUGAACAGCCCACUCCAAGAUUUUGUUCAAGAAAUCAGUGUCUCAGAGGCCAGUCUCUCUGGUCGUGUGGCUCCAUGGCAUGGUCUGAGGAAGGAUUUUGGUUGUACAUUUAUUAGUGCUUCUUCUGGGUCUCUUGAGCAAGCACUUUCCAGAGACACAGAGGUGCAGCUGGUCAGUGGAUUGCAGCUCAGACCAAACAGCUUCACCUCACCCACAAGGACAUAGAAGGGAGAAAACCUCAGGUCUCUGCUACAGACGUGUUGUAGCUUCAGGGGAGCUUGAAGGAGGAUUACACUGUUUUGAAUCUCACACUCCCUGGGUGGCACUAGGUGGGCGUGAGAAGUGGGAAAAAGAGUUAUUGGUUCUGAAACAUCUGGUGUAAAUACGCCACAUGAUGUACAGCGCCCUUCUCAAGAGUGCUGGGUCUCAUGCACUCACCUGAGGUGACAUCGGGCAGGAAUCACUUCGGAUGGGCAGUCUGUAUAAUAUCUGUGUCUGCUACAGAGGUUAAGGAAGGUUUCCAGCUUCAGCCAAAAUGCCAAGAGCAGAACUAAGACCACCUUGGCUCCAGGAGGGCCUCUCAGCCCUAAGUGCACCACACAUACAGGGAGAUGGAGACACGCUGCAUCCCAGACCCUUCUGGUGUGGAGAUGAGAGUUCAGCCCCUCAGUUUGGGCUUUCUCUGUGGUGGCAGAAUAAGGAUGUUCCUCCCAUGCAGGAUUAAUAAUCGAAGGGUUUCUCCCUCAAAGCACUUUCUAACACUACAUUUAAAUGUGCUGCAUGCAUUAUUCAUCUUUUUGCAGCAAGCAGCAAGAUGGAGGCAGCUGUCAGUCUAGUUCAUGUUUCAGAGCUCUACCCUCCAGCUGCCUGUGGGGGCAUGCUAAGGAUUAACAUGGUCCAUGGCACAAAUGGCCCACGCUUUCAGGCUGGGGAGUCAUUAUUUGCCAGGGUAGCUGCAGUUCUAGAAACACCAACAUAUCGAACUUCGUCUAAAGAAGGCUGAAGGAGGGUUUUGUUAGAAAAAGUGAGGCUUUUUCUUGCAUCUAUGUUGUACCAAAAGCAGGCAAUCAUGACUCUUGACAGCUUUGCUACAUUUUUUCUCUGGCAUCUUCAUCUCUCAGGGCUUCUCCAUCAAAAAAUUGUUAAAACUACAAAACUUUGGGUUUGUAUCUUAUUUUCUCUGCAGUUAAGUGGAUACAGCACUUGGCAUGUCAGACUAAUGAUUCUGGUUGGGAUCCUUUUAUACAACUCAUUUGAAGCACAACAGAAGCAAUAUCCUGGCUACUGUUAGUGAUCCUUGUGCCCACAAUGGCUGGAUGUGCUACAGACUCAGAGAAGUUCAGGAAAUCCAACAGUUGUCUGGCUCCUAUUCUGCUUACACAUGGCUGGGCUAUUAUAGCUUGGUGGGGAGUCAUUACACAAAACUCAAGCAUGGCCUUGUUCUCUAAGCACUUAGAGUCAAGGUUAAAUAUUUGACUGGAUGUAUUUUGGUCCUGCUACUCUCGCCUCUCUGCUAUCAAAAGAUCAUAAAAUUCCUUGAGGACACAACGUAAAUUAGCACAAACUUCAAAUCUCUCUAAUUUGCCCCAGUAGAAAGCAAGCCUUUGCACAGACAGAACAGCAUGGAGCUACUGCCCUGGAAGGCUGGCUGGUCUCCCAUGCAUCUCUUACCUCCUAGGACUCAAGCCAUUAAUCUUAUAUUGAGCUGUUUAGAUGGUGGACUGUCCAUUUCAUUCAGAGCUCUCACACAUAAUGCUGAGAUUUUUUUAUGUAAAGAAGGUCUGGUUAAAGUCCACUUGUCAAAAUGACACAAGAUUACAAUAUGAGAUUCAGAGGUGAGAAAACAUGUUCCAUAAUUUUGUUAAUUUUAUCCAGUUCCAAUGUGACCCUUCUCGCCCAUGUGCAUACAGCAGCUAGCACUGGGGUGGCUGUAUCACAAUGCAAACAACAAGGAAAACGUCUUGUAAUUCUCUCACUGGGGAAUACAUAACAGCACAGAUCUCCUCUAGGUCCUGCUUUCUGCAAAAUGAACAGUAAUAAAUGGCCAUAUUCCUCAGUAGGAAAUAAGGGAAAAGAAAAGCUAAAGUUAAAACUGCAGAUGAAACAAAUCUCUUAGGAUGAUGACUUGGUACAUGACAGCACUUUGAUCUUUGCAAUCAGAAAACAAUUUGACUUCAGUCUUUUCUUCUGGGUAUUAUGGCCAGGAUCACACCAGCACUCUAAAAGGAUCUGUUCUAGCUCAAGUAUUAUUUAUUCACAUGCUUUUUUAUUCUGUUUCAUGGAGAAAUGCAAGGACAAUAUCUCAUUAACUGAAGGAAAACACAGUUUUCUUUUUUUAAAUGUCAUGAACAGGGUAGCUCUGCAAUCAGGGAUACUGUUUAAAGCACUGAAUUUACCCAGAGAUAUAAUGUAGCAAGGAAACUUCCCAUGCAUUCAAUGAGAGAUGACAGCACACAGAUAAGAUACUAAUCCCUUGUUAUCAUCUCUAGGUACCAGACUAAAUGCAGUUGUCAGAAAUUCUCAGCAGAAGUUGACAGGACCAAGACAGGGUUCAUUUAGGGUCACUGGAAAGUCCCAUUUCAUUUGCAUAAGCAUUUCAGCAAGUGUUUUAAGAGUCUUGCUUUCCACCAAAAGCUUAAGCAAUCAAACAUAGCCACAUAUUAACAGCAAGCAAUUGGGGCCCAGAUCCUCAAAAGUAUUUAAACACUAGCACCUACUGAUUUCCAGGAAAGGCAACCCAGCACCUUGGACCAAAUGUUCUGCUAGUUGGAGAAGUAUAAAUCUCUCUGAAGCCAAUGUAUCUGUCCCAUCCAUAUUUCUGGUUUUUGGCAGUUGAUGAUGAUGGUAGAGAAUAAACAUCAAAUUAGGAAAACACUUGGAGUUUUUAACCAUAUUUUA